rnacentral:rRNA from 1 species
CCUACGGGGGGCAGCAGUGGGGAAUAUUGGACAAUGGGGGCAACCCUGAUGCAGCCAUGCCGCGUGUGUGAAGAAGGCCCUCGGGUUGUAAAGCACUUUCAGUGAGGAAGAACGCCUGGUGGUUAAUACCCAUCAGGAAAGACAUCACUCACAGAAGAAGCACCGGCUAACUCCGUGCCAGCAGCCGCGGUAAUACGGAGGGUGCGAGCGUUAAUCGGAAUUACUGGGCGUAAAGCGCGCGUAGGUGGCUUGAUAAGCCGGUUGUGAAAGCCCCGGGCUCAACCUGGGAACGGCAUCCGGAACUGUCAAGCUAGAGUGCAGGAGAGGAAGGUAGAAUUCCCGGUGUAGCGGUGAAAUGCGUAGAGAUCGGGAGGAAUACCAGUGGCGAAGGCGGCCUUCUGGACUGACACUGACACUGAGGUGCGAAAGCGUGGGUAGCAAACAGGAUUAGAUACCCCUGUAGUC